GGCUGUAAACAUGUGACAGUUUAUUAUUGGACAAAAUGGCAGAUAUACUUUACAUAGUUACAUGGAGAUGGGAAAUCAGGAGUUAGCUAAUAUCCAUAUCCAUCAAACUCCCCCUGUCAACUAAGUCUUCCUGGAGCUCCAUCUUCCUCUUUUGAACACAAUUCUUUUUACUGAAGAAUUCAGCAACCACAUAAGAAGCUACCCUUUCACUAUUGCUUUUUUGACCAAACUUCUUAUUGCCUCAUUUUCAGAUGGAGAAACUGAUGUAAAAUGGGUGACCUGACUGCACUGUCACCAUCCAAGAAAAAAACUGCCAAGAUCAAGAUAUGUAAGCAAACUUUCAGAGAUGCUGCAGUUGAAUUAAACAGCAGUACAGCUAUUCCUGUGCAUCACUUCUUACAAAAGCAAAAACCUGCUUUCCCCAUGACUACAGAAGUAUAACUUUAUACAAGCAAAAAGUUUUCAAAUCCACUUCCUAGGGAAAAAGCUGAUGGGGAAUCCUGUUAGACAAGAGGCUCAGUCAAGUUUACAGGUCCUGUGCCUACUUCUUGUCCCCCUUGACCAGUCCCACCAGCAAAUGGAAGGAAAAAACCAAACCGCAGUGUAAUAAAGCAGUAACACCAGACAGAAGAGGAACUGUCUUUUCUUCUCUGUAAGUUUCUAUUAAUUAACACAAAUGCAAUAUUUUAUCCUGUUAGAAUUGUUUCAGUCCAAAUAGAAUUCCUGCUUAUGCUUAUUAUGCAAGUUGACACUGAUCUUUCUUAUGGGCUUUGGCUUCAUUUGUUUGCUAUCUGAGUAUGGUCUGCAAUUGGCCUGUUUUGAAUCUGAGCCAUGAAACUGAUUCAUUUCCAGCAGAUCUGGAGCUGCCAGGCCACACUUGUAACAAUACCUCGCUAUACCUCAGGAAACAGAACGCAGAUGUGGGCAGGGCAUAACAGAGUUUGGUUUGAAAAUGAAUUUUUAUUUUUUCCCCUUCAGUAUUUUCUUUGUGUCCUUGUUCAUCAUAUCACUUAAAGAAUGUAUUUUACUGACACUCCAAUAGUUUUCUCUCAACUUGAUUUUAACAUCAUAAAGACUGCAUAGUGUUGCUCUUGAUUGUGUUCAUUUUAUCUGAGAGCUGCCCAUAUAAUAAAAUGUGGUUGCUCUUACCAGUGGUUCCUAUAAUUGCAAGCAU